AAUCACAUGCUUAAUGCAAAGUGGGGCUUAGUGUAAAAGUGUGCAAUAUAUCUUGGACCUUUUCAUUGUUGGACUGCCUAUGCUUGUUCCCUAGGAAUUCAGCAAUCUAAUAGAUUCAGCCUACUAAUGGGAGAUUACAAUGGGGGUGAAUGACAGCCAUGUUUUUGACGUUAUGACUGUAGCAUAUUCCUGGGAGGUCACGAGGUCACGGGGUUAGUGAGAGCAUGAGCUGAAGAGGCUUAAAGGGGAAGGAGCUUUGGGAAGUUUCAACGAUGAAUGCUGCUCGGAUUUUGGAGACAUCAUUAAAGGGGUGCUUACAGCACACUGUGGAGUAGGAUCUUUAAGUAUGUUUAACGCGGGCUCCCCCAUCACGCCGGAGAAACGUGUUCAAAGUGAAAGGCUAGUCUUCCACUUCUUCCACCGCAUCAGUCUCCGGCUGCAAUCCCAGACUACCGCGGUCACCACUCACUCGCCAGGAAGAUUUCCCGGGGUUUUCUGGCCCAAUAUGGCGGG